CUAGGGGCAGAGCUAGGCUCCUGACUGCAAGGUACAUAGCUGUCACAACUAAUACAUUUAGAAAGGCAACUAGACUCAUGGCUGAUGUGACUGCAACCUGGUGCUCAGUGGCCUAAAUUCAUACUACCAGUAACUCAGAAACCAGUGUUCAAUCAAGCAGCAAACACUGUCAGAGGUCCAGUCCCUUGCUGAGCUGUUUGGUAAAUGGUAAGAAAAAUAGAGUGGAGGGUAAAAGGAAAGAGCCGUUAAUACACAAUGUGGCUGGGCUCUCAUUGGCGCUGUGUUCAGCGUCACCUUAUAUACUAAUAAAUGGGCAACAAGGAACAGUGCCUGACCACAACACACAACAAAACAGAAAGCAAAGUGGGUAAGAUAAUUAUCUCAACAGAUAACCUGCGGCUGCUUCAUGGAGGAGAUGCUAUUUGGCCAGACUUUAAGAGAUUUAUACACCGGAAAGCUGAAUGAGGAAGACAUCAAGAAGUACAGAUCCACAAGAAGGAGGAUCCUAAACCCCUAUAUCGUGAUGCUAUACUUCUAUCAAUACCUACCACGAAUGGCCAAAUUGAAAUUUAU
rnacentral:lncRNA from 1 species